rnacentral:rRNA from 1 species
CACGUAGGGGGCAAGCGUUGUCCGGAUUUAUUGGGCGUAAAGAGCUCGUAGGCGGCUCAGUAAGUCGGGUGUGAAACCUCCAGGCUCAACCUGGAGACGCCACCUGAUACUGCUGUGGCUAGAGUCCGGUAGGGGAGCGUGGAAUUCCUGGUGUAGCGGUGAAAUGCGCAGAGAUCGGGAGGAACACCCGUAGCGAAGGCGGCGCUCUGGGCCGGUACUGACGCUGAGGAGCGAAAGCGUGGGGAGCGAACAGG